UACGGAAGGCAGCAGUGGGGAAUAUUGCACAAUGGGCGCAAGCCUGAUGCAGCCAUGCCGCGUGUAUGAAGAAGGCCUUCGGGUUGUAAAGUACUUUCAGCGGGGAGGAAGGCGGUGAAGUUAAUAGCUUCACCGAUUGACGUUACCCGCAGAAGAAGCACCGGCUAACUCCGUGCCAGCAGCCGCGGUAAUACGGAGGGUGCAAGCGUUAAUCGGAAUUACUGGGCGUAAAGCGCACGCAGGCGGUCUGUCAAGUCGGAUGUGAAAUCCCCGGGCUUAACCUGGGAACUGCAUUCGAAACUGGCAGGCUAGAGUCUUGUAGAGGGGGUAGAAUUCCAGGUGUAGCGGUGAAAUGCGUAGAGAUCUGGAGGAAUACCGGUGGCGAAGGCGGCCCCUGGGACAAGACUGACGCUCAGGGUGCGAAAGCGUGGGGAGCAAACAGGAUUAGGAUACC
rnacentral:rRNA from 1 species